rnacentral:rRNA from 1 species
UACAGAGGUCUCAAGCGUUGUUCGGAUUCAUUGGGCGUAAAGGGUGCGUAGCGGCGCGGUAAGUCGGGUGUGAAAUCUCGGGGCUUAACUCCGAAACUGCAUUCGAUACUGGCGUGCUUGAGGACUGGAGAGGAGACUGGAAUUCAUGGUGUAGCAGUGAAAUGCGUAGAGAUCAUGAGGAAGACCAGUGCGAAGGCGGGUCUCUGGACAGUUCCUGACACUGAGACACGAAGGCCAGGGGAGCAAACGGG